AUUUGUGGAUUAGGCAGAUGCGGUGCGACUCGAAUUUCACCAUCAGGUGGAAGACGGUGUCCCCUCUCUGGUUAGUCUCACCGGAGGAAAGGAAGGAGAGAACAGGGACCGUGAAAGGCGGUUGGGAAAAAUUGUUUUGAGCGGUCAUCCAACUCAGAAUUCCAAGUCAGAAACUCGGGCAUCUUUCCAGAGCUCCGACUUUUCGACCUGAAGACCAGUGACGUUGUGAUUUGACCUCGUUGACCAUCAGAUGCAGUUGCUGACCAGAAGCAACGGAGGACACCUGUAUAUGCCGAAUGAGUCCAAUCAAUCUAAGGACAUCAUUAAGAACAGCCUGGACUCUACAAGGUGUCGAAAGCGUUCCACAGGGAUGCUGGCUCAUUUUGACUCCAAUGCUUCCCACAGUUGUGUCAAGUUGGCUGGAUGUCCUUUGGGUGGUGGACCAUUCUUGAUACACAAGGGAAACUUUUGAGCGGG
ensembl:lncRNA